CUAACGAAAUGGCAAACCUUGCGAAAGUGAGGGACGCAAAGCUACGGGUCUAAGGUUCAUUUUGAAUGAUGAUCGCCGGGCUGCCGAA
rnacentral:ncRNA from 1 species